rnacentral:lncRNA from 1 species
GUUGAAGCCCAAUGGAGUUGAGCAACUUGCUGAAGGUCACACAGCUCAUUGCCUGCUCCUGCAGAGGGCUGCUGCCAUGUCAUGAGCACUCUCAAGCAGCUCUAGCGAGGGGUCAUGUCAUGAGGAACUGAGACCUUCUGCCAAUAGCUGUGUGAAUGAGCCAUCAUGGAGGCAGGUCCUCCAGCCCCAGUCAAGCCUUCAGAUGAUGGCAGCCCCAGCUGAUGAUUUGACUGCAAACUCUCAUGCAACCAGGAAUAAGAACCACUCAGCAGAACCACUCCCAAUUUCCUGACCCACAGAAACUGUGAGAUAAAUAAAUAU